CCUACGGGAGGCAGCAGUCGAGAAUCAUUCACAAUGGGGGAAACCCUGAUGGUGCGACGCCGCGUGGGGGAAUGAAGGUCUUCGGAUUGUAAACCCCUGUCAUGUGGGAGCAAAUUAAAAAGAUAGUACCACAAGAGGAAGAGACGGCUAACUCUGUGCCAGCAGCCGCGGUAAUACAGAGGUCUCAAGCGUUGUUCGGAAUCACUGGGCGUAAAGCGUGCGUAGGCUGUUUCGUAAGUCGUGUGUGAAAAGCGCGGGCGCAACCCGCGGACGGCACAUGAUACUGCGAGACUAGAGUAAUGGAGGGGGAACCGGAAUUCUCGGUGUAGCAGUGAAAUGCGUAGAUAUCGAGAGGAACACUCGUGGCGAAGGCGGGUUCCUGGACAUUAACUGACGCUGAGGCACGAAGGCCAGGGGAGCGAAAGGGAUUAGAUACCCUUGUAGUC
rnacentral:rRNA from 1 species